AAUGAGUUGGCAGAGCUAUGCACUUGACUUAGGAUCAACUAACAGGAAUCAUUCCUACUCAUU
rnacentral:tRNA from 1 species